rnacentral:rRNA from 1 species
GCUACGGGGAGCAGCAGUGGGGGAUAUUGCACAAUGGGGGAAACCCUGAUGCAGCGACGCCGCGUGAGUGAAGAAGUAUUUCGGUAUGUAAAGCUCUAUCAGCAGGGAAGAAAAUGACAGUACCUGACCAAGAAGCCCCGGCGAACUACGUGCCAGCAGCCGCGGUAAUACUUCGGGGGCAAGCGUUAUCCGGAUUUACUGGGUGAAAAGGGAGCGUAGACGGUUCUGUAAGUCUGGAGUGAAAGCCCGGGGCCCACCCCCGGGACUGCUUUGGAAGCUGUGUAACUGGAGGACAGGAGGGGCAGGCGGCAUUCCUGUUGUCGCGGUGCCAUGCGUAGAUAUCAGGAGUACCACCGGCGGCG